rnacentral:rRNA from 1 species
UACGUAGGGUGCAAGCGUUAUCCGGAAUGAUUGGGCGUAAAGCGUCCGCAGGUGGCAAUGUAAGUCUGCUGUUAAAGAGUCUAGCUCAACUAGAUAAAAGCAGUGGAAACUACAUAGCUAGAGUACGUUCGGGGCAGAGGGAAUUCCUGGUGUAGCGGUGAAAUGCGUAGAGAUCAGGAAGAACACCGGUGGCGAAGGCGCUCUGCUAGGCCGUAACUGACACUGAGGGACGAAAGCUAGGGGAGCGAAUGGG